rnacentral:lncRNA from 1 species
GGUAUGCAGAAUGGCCCAACUUCAGCUGGGGGUGAGCAGAACACUUCUGUCCAGGGAACUACAUAGAUAGAUGGCUGGAGGUAGGACUCAGCUGCAAAAAACUUCAAGCCCACUCAAGUUGAAGAGGACAUGGAUGUCAAAUGUCUGACUUUUGUGUCAAAGACACUGACUACUGAGCAAAAGACUGCAUCCUGAUAUUUCUCCAAAUUAAGACUUUCUUGGAGUGUUUGCAGGUUGAAAAUCUUGGGUUCAGAGUUGACUCAGCAUAAAACAAUGUGGAAAUAGGAAUUUUGCCAGUUUUAAUGUCAUUUGCACAUGACAUAAGUUUUUUAUUUGAGCUUUGAUUUUGUUAAUAAAAUAUUCAGAGCAGUUCCUGCCAAGUGUUACACUGCCAGCAGACCUGGUACACAGUGAGGUUUGUUUUAAUACAGUCAUAAUGUUGAAAAAAGUGGGUUUUGACCUUUCUGCCCACUUACCUUAUUUCAGCUGUUUAUACUAAGCCAUGAAACUUCUAAACUGUCCAUUUACAGGAUAUUGACUUAAAAGAACAAAAUUUUGUUUCCAUGCAUGAAAAGGCCAAUUGCCACAUUUCAAUGAAUGUGAUCGUUACUGCCAUAAGGAUCCCUGAAUAAAGACCUUUUUCUGCAUAAUGUGGGGCGUGGCAGCUCGCAAUAAAUUACACGGAACCAGACCCUCAGCUGGGGUAAAUGUCUGGGGCUCCUCUGGCAGAGAGCUUGAGUUGGAUCAGCUGAGGAUGUGGGGUUUGAUUGAUACAUGGGUUUGAAAAAGGCCAAUCCUUUAAUUUCCACUGGGAAAAGAAGUACCAGCUUUUCACUUCAGGUUCAGUGUUCAUCUCAGAAUUUUGGAAUCUGUGCAUCUUGCCCUUGACCAUGGCACUACAGGUACAAAGCCUAUGAAGUGCUGAGGGAACAGCUGGCGAAACACGUGGGUCAAAUGCAGAUAUUGAGGCAGGAAAAUAGAAGUAUUUCAUUUUAUGCUGCCAAAAUAUCUGAUGUUGAAUUCAAGGCUGCAAAGUCAUGCAGAAAGAUUAAUCCAGAGAAGUUCAGGAAAGCAUCAAGGAUCCAUGCACACCAGCACAGAGCUGUUCCACUGAUGUGCCAGGCCAGCUCCAAUAUCCUUUAAUUGAGACCAGAACAGAAUGUGUGAAACUUCUAGUGGAAUUCCUCAUACUGGGAUUUAAACCACAGUUGAGUACCAUAUGCUUCAUAAGAAUGCUUAUUUUUCCUCUUGCACUUUGAAUUAAAAGCAAAAC